rnacentral:lncRNA from 1 species
CUAGAAAGAUGUGUGUCUAUACUUUCCAAAAACAGCCACAGAAUUAAAGCCAAACAUGCUCUUCUAGAAUCUUGCCACUCCCCAUUGAGAGGUGAAAUCUGGCCAGACUCUGUGGCUCAUGCCUGUAAUCCUAACACUUUGGGAGGUCAAGGCAGGAGGAACGCUUGAGCCCAGGCUAUGGUCAAGCCAUUGCCCUCCAUCCUGGGUGACAGAGCAAGACCCUGUCAAAGAAGAAAGGAGGAAGAAGGAAGAAGAAAGGAAAGAGGGAGGAAGGAAAGAGAGAAAUCUGUUUGCCCUCCUCUUGAACCUGGACAGGCCUGUGACUGCUACACCCAAGAAUAUAGGAAAGGUGUUAUGACUUCUUACACUAAGUUCUCUCCCUCUCCCAUCUCCUCUCAGGAGGGAUGUUCUCCCUUGGAACCAGGCCACCAUUCUAUGAGGAAGCCAAGCAGCCACAUGAAAAGGCCGUAUGUAGACAUUCUAACUGACAAUACUAGCUAAGGUUCCAGCUACUCACCAGCAUCAACUAUCAGACAAAUUCCUAUCAUUAAUAGAAGAAACUAUAUGCCAAGUGACAGCCAGUGAAGCAGAACAACAGGAGAAGACGGCGAAGCCAGAAGCAAAUUAUUUCAAUGGAAGAAAAAUCCCCUCUCCAGGUUGUUUUCAUUGGUAUAAGGAUAUGAGUUACUUUUUAAAAAGGAACACUAGGCGGCCGGGCACAGUGGCUCACAUCUGUAAUCCUAGCACUUUGGGAGGCCGAGGUGGAUGGAUCACAAGGUCAGGAGUUCGAGACCAGUCUGGCCAACAUAGUGAAACCGUCUCUACUAAAAAUACAAAAAAUUAGCCGGGUGUGGUGGCGUGCACCUGUAAUCCCAGAUACUCAGGAGGCUGAGACAUGAGAGGCAGAGGCUGCAGUGAGCCGAGAUCACACCACUGCACUCCAGCCUGGGCAACACAGCAAGACUCUGUUUCAAA